rnacentral:sRNA from 1 species
CGUGCUCGAUUAGCUGCGGGCUGUUGAAGUGGACGUGGAUGUCGAGCCCACCGGCCGUCGCGAUCAGUCCAUCGGCGGGAAUCGUGUCCGUGCUCGGGCCGAUUACCAUGUCGACGCCGUCCAUCGUGUCGGGAUUGCCGGCCUUCCCGACGCCGACGAUUUCGCCGUCACGGACCCCGAUAUCGCCCUUGCAGACCCCAAGCACCGGAUCGAUGAUGACGACGUUCGUAAAGACCCAGUCGAGGGUCCCGUCGGCCUGGGUCGUCCCCGACUGCAUCCCCAUCCCGUCG